UACGUAGGGAGCAAGCGUUAUCCGGAUUUACUGGGUGUAAAGGGGGCGCAGACGGCGAUGCAAGCCAGGAGUGAAAGCCCGGGGCCCAACCCCGGGACUGCUCUUGGAACUGCGUGGCUGGAGUGCAGGAGGGGCAGGCGGAAUUCCUGGUGUAGCGGUGAAAUGCGUAGAUAUCAGGAGGAACACCGGUGGCGAAGGCGGCCUGCUGGACUGCAACUGACGUUGAGGCCCGAAAGCGUGGGGAGCAAACAGG
rnacentral:rRNA from 1 species